rnacentral:rRNA from 1 species
GACGAACGCUGGCGGCGUGCUUAACACAUGCAAGUCGAACGAAGUGGCGAACGGGUGAGUAACGCGUAAUCAACCUGCCCUUCAGAGGGGGACAACAGUUGGAAACGACUGCUAAUACCGCAUACGGAAGGAGGGGAUUGCGUCAGAUUGGCUAGUUGGGGGGGUAACGGCCCACCAAGGCGAAGAUCAGUAGCCGGUCUGGGAGGAUGAACCGCCACAUUGGGACUGAGACACGGCCCAGAAUCCUACGGGAGGCAGGAAGGGGGAAUCUUCCGCAAUGGACGAAAGUCUGACGGAGCAACGCCGCGUGAGUGAUGACGGCCUUCGGGUUGUAAAGCUCUGUUUAUCGGGACGCGGUACCGGAAUAGAAAGCCACGGCUAACUACGUGCCAGCAGCCGCGGUAAUUC